rnacentral:lncRNA from 1 species
GUCUGCCACCAGGUGAGAUGUGUUUUUCACCUUCCACCAUGAUUGUGAAGCCUUCCCAGCCAUGUAGAACUGAAUAGUCUAAACCAGAGAAGACUCUAUGGAUGACAUGAAUCUUCUUUUUACCUCAUCUUUGGAACAUUCUCCAGAACAAUUUUGAGACCUACCAGCAUCAUUGAGAGAUUUAGAAGUAUAAAUUAGUAUUGCCCUAAGAAACCAGUUGCCAUGAUGUGAGGAAGCUCAAGCAACCCUAUGGAGAAACGGUUUCCCACAGGGAAAGAUAUCCAGAUCCCUGUCUAACAGCUUCAAUUGAGCACCCAUCUGAAAUAAGCAUCAACCUGUCAACCAUGUGAGUGAGCUGUCUUGGAAGUGGACCCUCCAGCCACAGCUGAGUCAUUCAAGCUGAUGAGUAGAGACAAGCUAUUUCCAAUGGGCCUUAACAAAAUUGCAGAUUUGUGAGCAAAACAAAUAAUUUUUGUUGUUUCAAGAUACUAAAUUUUGGAGGAGUUUGUUAUACAACAAUAGAUAACCAGAAAACCAUGACAUAUGAAUUAUAAAUUUAUCAUUGAGUUGUUGGUUAUCUUUCCACCUCUGAAAAUUAAAUACCUAGCCAGUCAUGAUAAAGAGUAAGGUAAAAAAAGUAUGAAAGUAUGAGAAAUAUAUAUGAAAAAUCAAGGAUGAGCAGAAAAUAGGAUCAGGAAUGAGGCUAAUAUAUAAUGCAUACCACAAUUCUUAAUUUGGAAAAUUUUGUCAAUUUCUAAUAAAGUUAAACAUACAUCCGACCUAUGAGUCAGCAAUUUUACUCUUAUGUAUAUACUCAAAGAAUAUCAAAUAAAGACAUAUGUCCACCAAAACACUCUUAAAGAAUGCUCAUAGUAGCUUCAUUCAUAAUGAUUCCCAAAUGGAAACAAUGGAAAUGUCAUUAAACAAUGAAUGAAGCCAAACACAUGAGUCUACAUACUGUAUGAUUUCAUUGAUAUUAAGUUCAAAAACAUGCAAAUUAAACUACGAUAACAGGAGUUGUAUGGCUGGUUACCUUUGGAGGAAAAGGAAAUGACUAGGAAGGAUCACUUUAAAAAAUCUUCUAUAGUGAUAGGAUCUUUUAUAUAUUGACCUGGAUAAUAGUUACAUGGAUGUAUACAUAUGUAAAAUUAAUUGUGCUAUACACUAAAGGUUUGUGCAUUUGACUGUGUCAAUUAUUUCACAUUUAAAAAUAAAUAAACUGGUAUUGUACUAGAAAAUCCAGAUAUGGCUAUACUCUACUAUUUACUCAGGCACACACAGGCUUUAUUAGUCCAUUUUCAUG